rnacentral:lncRNA from 1 species
UUUUUUUUUUAAAAAAAAAUCCUUUUACCCAUUUUUUCUCUCAAACUCUCCCUCUUGUCCAGCUAUGGGACGGUGGAUCUCCGUUGUGGCCACCAGUCAUUAGCAACUGAUAUCUCCACCUCCGGUCGCAGGAGUUCCCCAAAAUAGGCAUUUUGACCCCCUUUUCGAGUAGAAUACAAAUCCGGGUUUUAAAUUCCCAGAAAUUUGGUCGAUGUUCGGCCGAAGGAAAAGAAACCUUUCAGUUUCUCCCUUUUCAAACGAGGCCCUCGACGGAACCCUAGAGGUUCUGAGGUUUCUUGAGUCGAAAAAAAGGGGCUCUAUGAUGGCGCUAUAACAGGUAAAAAAAAUAAAUCUGUCUUUUAUUCUUUUUUUUUAUAUUUGCUUCGAAAUAAAAAAUAAAAGAGCUAUCCUUUUGGAACUCUGUUAUUUUUUUGUAUUAUAUUGAUGGUCUCCUCUUUCUGUUACAUAGUGGCUUCGGCUUUAUAGCCGAAUAUUACAACAUAUUUUUUAUGUUUUGUUUGUUUCUGCCAUUCCCUGCUUCUACAUCUCUAUCCUCUAUUCUUUGUCUUCUUACUCUUUUUGCAGGUGGUGGCGGCGAAAAGUGGUGUUUGCCAAUGUGGCAAAGGGACGGCGACACUAAUAGCUUAGGGUCUUAGGGUUUCUAACAUUCUUUUUUUUAUUAUUAGGUUUUGGGCUUGAAUGUAUUAGGUUAGUAUUUGGGCUUGUCUGUUCUUGUAAAUGGACUUAGGCUUUUUAUUUUAUUUAUUUAUUUGGUUUCUGUUUGGGCCGGAUGAACUUGGGCCACACAACACUUAUGAUGAUUAUUCAUAAGAAGAUACGGAUGACAUAGUAGCUUCCUAGAAUUUCACUAUGUAGAAGAAGAUACGAAUAACAUAGUAGCUUGCUAGAAUUCUACCUUUUGUUUGGAUCAAUAGUAAAACAUUCCCUUGAGAAACUCUUUCCUAGUUUCAACACGUUUUUCGGGAUGUUGGGUGAUUCUCCCC